CGCAUGGUUUUUCGUCGUCAAUCAGUUAUUUUGACAACAAAUUGUUAUCGUUGUAUGUUAAAAAGUCUUGUUGCUGAUAUAUAUAGAUCAGUAUAAUUAUUCAAAUAUUGUAUCAAAUAUUGGAAUAUAUAAACACAGAUAAUCGACAAGCAAGAGCAAUUUCUAGAAAGUCUCUUUAUAAAAAUAGAUAUACAUGUACAAAUGGACCAAGCAAAUAAAAAAGAAAGAACCAAAAAUUUUAGUGAAUCUGAAAAAAUGCUUCUUAUCGAAUUAAUACAAGAAAGAUGUAAAAUAUUAGAAAAUAAAACAACAAAUAGUAUUUCUAUGAAAGAAAAAGAAGAUUGUUGGGAGAAUUUGUGAAUAAAUUUUAUGUCUCGUUCUAAAGGAGUUGUACAAACUGUACAGUCUCUAAAAACAUGUUGGGAAAAUAUAAAGAAAAGAACAAAAAAACAAUUUGCUGAGGAGAAACAGGCAAUUUAUAAAACAGGUGGAGGACAAUAUAAGGCUAUAAGUGAUCCAAUAGCUGAACAAGUCCGAGAAAUAAUAAGACCGGCAGUAGAAGGCCUAUCGAAUGAUUUAGAUAGUGAUUGCAUUGCAGGAU